AACUGUCACGGCGAGGCAAUUUUGCGAGACAACGAGUCUCUCUCGGGUGUGCGUGUGAUCAAGUUUUUGUGAGGAACCUGCAUGAUCUUGCGCAUGAAGUAAUUAUUUUUGGACAGUUCCUUCUCUGGACGGUGUUACAAGUACAGGCAAGCGGCUAUCAACGGUUGUUAUUGCUGUACUUUGUGGUGUUGUGAUUCACCAGUGCGGAUCGAAGAGCACCGUUUUCUCCAGCCCUGAUUCUACAAUUUGGAGAUGGGGUACAAGGAGAAGUGCAAGUGUAUUCCACAUCUUGAGGGAGAUGCAAGAUAUGCUUCCGCAAUCCUUGCUGCAAGUGUUCAAAUAAAUGGUUGCAAGUUUCA